AUGAAACGGGCCCUGUUGGCUUCACUGCUCCAAGCCACGCACCCCGUCGUUGAUCAGAGCUCCGGGUGUACAACACGUGCCACUGUCGGCGUCCUCCUCCAGCAUCAGCUGCACCGAAGAAACAGAGCAUCUGACAUAGUGCAGUUCAUCUCCACGCCCUGCCGACCAUUGAGAUUCCCAAGUUGUGCAGCUGAGAUACUCGAUGGAGGAAGCAGCCCUGCAACGUCGAGGCGGAGCACAGGGAUGCUAUCCGCGUUGGCUGUGGACAGUGGACUCAACCCUCCGAUAGAAGCCUUGGUAUCGCUGUUCUCCCGCUUCUCCAAUUUGGCUGAAGUAGAGAUCAAUUAUUCUGGAUGGAAGCCCAGUAACGGGGACCAGUUGAACAACCAAGGGCUCCUUGUUCUAUCAUCUCACUGCCCCUCACCAUCCGAUCUUGCUUUAAGCUUCUGCUCUUCCAUUGAUGACACUGGUCUUGGUUAUCUAGCUGACUGCAAAAAUUCGAGGUCCUUCAGUCUGAACCGUGCACCAGCAGUAACUUCUAGAUGGGCGAAUCUCCAAAAGUUUGAAUUUCAGAUUAAUGGAGAUUAUUGGAAGACAGGGCCCCAUGAUCCCUCCUACGUGUCUGGCUACCCAUAUAGCUAUGACAUCUGUUGUGAUGAUGUGAAGGAUCUUAGAGAUGCAACAACCUUAAAACCAUCUCACUUUGGCUCAUGCCUCGGCAAUAUGAAGAUUAUGUCCAUCAUUGGUGUUUUUGUUGGCAUCUUCAAAGCUCUUCUCUCUCUCAAGCAACACUAG
rnacentral:rRNA from 1 species